CCUUCGGGAACUUAGAUACAGGUGCUGCAUGGCUGUCGUCAGCUCGUGUCGUGAGAUGUUGGGUUAAGUCCCGCAACGAGCGCAACCCUUUUCCUUAUUUGCCAGCGGGUAAUGCCGGGAACUUUAAGGAUACUGCCAGUGACAAACUGGAGGAAGGCGGGGACGACGUCAAGUCAUCAUGGCCCUUACGGCCAGGGCUACACACGUGCUACAAUGGUCGGUACAAAGGGUUGCUACCUCGCGAGAGGAUGCUAAUCUCAAAAAGCCGAUCGUAGUCCGGAUCGCAGUCUGCAACUCGACUGCGUGAAGUCGGAAUCGCUAGUAAUCGCGGAUCAGAAUGCCGCGGUGAAUACGUUCCCGGGCCUUGUACACACCGCCCGUCACACCAUGGGAGUUUGUUGCACCAGAAGUAGGUAGUCUAACCGCAAGGAGGACGCUUACCACGGUGUGGCCGAUGACUGGGGUGAAGUCGUAACAAGGUAAGCGUAGAUGA
rnacentral:rRNA from 1 species